UNGCAGUCUAUGUUAUGCAGAUGGCGCUG
rnacentral:piRNA from 1 species